UACGAAGGGGGCUAGCGUUGCUCGGAAUCACUGGGCGUAAAGGGUGCGUAGGCGGGUCUUUAAGUCAGGGGUGAAAUCCUGGAGCUCAACUCCAGAACUGCCUUUGAUACUGGCAACCUUGAGUCCGGGAGAGGUGAGUGGAACUGCGAGUGUAGAGGUGAAAUUCGUAGAUAUUCGCAAGAACACCAGUGGCGAAGGCGGCUCUCUGGGACGGUACUGACGCUGAGACGCGAAAGCGUGGGGAGCGAACAGG
rnacentral:rRNA from 1 species